GACUGACAUUUGCUUGGCUUGAUGAAGAAGCCCAACAAGUGAGUUCUGUUACUUCUUUUGGACUAUGCUGUUAGUUUUACGCUAAGCCCUAUUGAAUACACACGAUAAGAGCUGGUCAACUAGUAUCAUGAAGAUUAUGCGUUUCAUGAUAUGAGUUGUGGUGUAUUAAAUAAUUACUUGAAAUUGAGGAUGGAAUGGAUGAGCAAGGUUUCAUCAAGUUCAUGGCAUUUAACUGUGUAGUGAAUAACUAAAUGCAUGAGUUGGCCAGUGAUUGAAAAUCAUAAUGCAUGCCUAAGUUGGCCAAGGGGAUGGACUUUUGAUCUCUAUGAACCUCUAUGGCAUGUUAUCUUGUGAUGCAAGAUAUGUUGUGGAAUUUAUUCACUUGUGUACCACUACUAUUAUUUAUUGCAAUAACA
rnacentral:misc_RNA from 1 species